AGGAGACGUCGGGGGCCGCCGCCGCCGCUCGGCGCUCGUUUCGUUCUCGUCUGGGGCGCCCCAGAGGCUCCCCGGCUCUGCCGCCCGCUCCUCUUUCGCUCCCUCACAGGAGCCACGCUGGGCGACCUAACAUUUCAGACGUGCACAGCUGCUGCCUUCGCCCUUUCCAAGCCCGCCCUACUCCGCCCAACUUCCGUGUGGUGUUAGGUACCGACUACUACUAGCACGACUGGACCUAAUGAUCAGGGGUCCCUUGACCUUUUACUACGAGGAGGGGGUGCGCGGUUUGCCCGAGGCGGGCGAGUGAAUCUCUUGAACCGCGAGGUGAAAUUUGAACUCAGGUUUAACGCUCAGCUCCUUGCGCAGGAUACUGCCUUGAGUCUAAAAAGGGGCACAAAAGUGCCCUUUGAGUUAUAAGGUGAGUAGGAAAGAAAGCAUGCAGGGUCUGACAUUGCAAGCCUCAAAGUUAUGGUAGUUUAUAAAACUGACACCUGCCAAGCCAUAUAUAUACUUGGCAUAUCAGCUGCCUGCCCCUGAGGCAAGCGUAUCGGCAAGGCAGCUACGGCAAUGGCUUGCCUCUCCAAAAGGGUACGGGAGAAUGCAAUGCAAAGGUCCAAUACCAAGAUGAAGGUCUACCAGGCUUGUGUGUUGAGCAUGCUCUUUUUGGAAGUGAGUCAUGGGCAACUUAAGAUCAUCAGGAACAUGACCUCAACACCUUCCACAUGUGCCACAUCAGGAAGGUUUUGGGCAUCACAUGGCAGGACAGAGUUUCAAGCAGAAAUGCACUCUCCCAAGCCCAUAUUCACAGCAUGUUCGUACUCCUUUCUCAGCAACGUCUAUGCUGGCUUGGUCAUGUCCACAGAAUGGAAGAUGGCAAGAUCUCCAGGGAGCUGGCUUCAAGCACCAGCCCAAAUGGCAGACCAACUCUGGUUAAGAGCUCUGCAAAUGUAACAUGAAGGUUGGCAAUGUGGAAAUCCCUUGUAGAUAAAUGCAGCACUUGGAGACAGUCAGGUCAUGUAAUCACAGCAGUGACCAGAGCAGAAAUGCCUGCUGGGAGCAGCACAGAAAGAAGAAACACCAUGGUACACCUCCAUCAGCGCAACUGGACGCCUUCAUCUGCCCCAACUGCAAUAAAACAUGACUCUCUUGUAUCUGUCUCUAGCCACAGCAGGUGCUGUAACUCUCCAGCGGUUUGACUUUACCCUUCCAUUGUCUCCCAACACAGAUGGAUGACAACCAAAAUAAGGUUUAUGGAUGGGCCAGAUUCAAAAUUGAUCCGAUAAUAAUUUAUACAGGCCCAAAUUCAAAUAAGGAAGAUGAAGCACCUAUGUUGCCCUCAUCCUGCUUUGCCUCAUGAAGCACCUGAGCCUCAAUCUGUGAGCUGAUUUGUGACUAUUUGUUGCCUAGACAGUAGCUGGCAGGGUGGAUUAAACAGUGGGAAGGGGUCUUCUAGCAUUGUUCACUAUCCUUAUGAUGAUUCACCAUAUAGGAGGUUGUGUUUGGCACUGAAUGACAUAAGAGUUCAAAAUUUAUUCUGAAUUUGGAAUUGCAACAUGAUGCAUGAGAGAAAAAUAAUUGCAGCAGACAUCGGGUUGCUUUGGAACCUGAGAUGAUCGGGGGCAGUGAUAUGGAUGGGUAAAGCAUUACUUUGCUUCAAACUGCCCCCUACUAAUGUCAUUUCACAACAGAAAAUAUGUAUGGGUCAAGAUUUGUGAACUUAAUAAGGUAACCAGAUAUUCUAUGUAAGUCCUCUGAGAACCUUUUAGAAGGGGAGAUCUGUUGACCUAUACAUGCACUGAAAUAUAAAUAAUCAAUCCACCCAUUCCUCCUCAAAAUCAGCACACUUAUCACCUCUAUACUGCCAUGGUGCAGCUUUCUUGGUCCCUGUGGUCAAUCAGCUGGAUUGCUUACCAAACAUGCUUUCAUGUUUCAUUACUGGUAUUGUCGUCCAGUAUAGCUACACAUAUCACACCCCAAGCAGCAAUGGUACUACUCACAUGUAAUGCAUCAGACAAGACCCUACCCCACUGUUUAACCCAAGUGUGGGAAAACUUUGGCCUUCCAGAUGUUGUUGAACUACAACUCCUAUCAUCCCUUGGCCAUUGGCCAUGUUUUCUGGAGCUUUGAAGUUGUAGUCCAGCAACAUCUGGUGAUCUAAAGAUUCUUCACAACUGGCUUAGCCCAUCCUGCCAGUUACUGACAUAAGCAACAAGUGUUUAUACUCCACCUUUUUUGGUGUAGUUCGAGGUAUUUACCCCUUUUAUCCUUAAAACAACUGAGAGGAGGAAAUCAUCCAGUGUCUCACCCAGUUAUCCGGUGUGCUUUGUGCCCAAGCAGGAAUUUUAAUACAGCUCCAAAUCCAACACAAACCAGUUUAUCAUAGUGGCUCUAAGCAUGCUUUAACUACCCGACACAUUCACAAUUUGCUUCCUUUGUUGUGUUGGUGGAGUAUAAACACCUGCUUGUGUUGGUGGAGUAUAAACACCUGUUUGACUAGGCUUGCAAAGUUUUAUCUCCACAACUGCACAAAACAACACAGUAAGACCUUAAUCCUGUGCCCUUUGUACAAAAUCACUACAUGUAAUUCACAGUAACUGCCUUGGAUUAACAACUUGCCUGAUUCUGUACACAUAAAUAACAUGGAUUGGAGUUCCUACAUAAUGCAUACUAAUUGAAAGCAUGGGGAGUAUCCUCUGCUCACUCUUUUUGACCUCCCUAUUUUUUAGUGUGAUAUGGUUUUUAGAGAGUAACUAAUCCUAUCUAAAUGAUCCUGAAUAUGAACCUUUGUAUUUCUUCACCUAAUUCCUUCUGAAGAUCAGAAGGAUCUUCUGUCCCUGUACUGAAUCUGGCCCUCCACUUUCCAUCCCUAGAGGCAAGAAAAGGGUGUGAAUGUGAAGCAUCUUCAGCAGUGGGCCUUGACAUCCAUCAGGAGUCUGAUCUGCCAUACAGUGGUACCUCAUGUUACGUACUGUCUCCUUUGCAAACACUUCGGGUUACGUGCUCUGCUAACCCGGAAGUAGGUCUCCUUGUUGCGAACUUUGCCCCGGGAUGCGAGCGGAAGUUGCACUUCAGCAGUGCGCGCUCAGCGGGAAGCACCAUUAGCCUCAUGUUACGAGCUGUUUCCUGUUACGAAUGGACCUCUGGAACCAAUUAAGUUUGUAACCAGAGGUACCACUGUACUCCCUUGUCAAAACAAGCUGGUGACAAGAGCAGUAAACAUUCCUCCACCUACCUAAUAGUUUGCCUGUCUUUCCUCAUGGAUUCUUCAGUGUUUAGUUUUGAUCUGGGUAUUCCAGAGAACAAAGGCAAUCAAAAUGAAUUUAGUGAUCUAUAAUAUGAAAAGUAAGGGAAGCGCAUGAAAGAGUACAUCCCCUUAAGUCUGUUCCCAUGAAAUUUCUCCUGGGAAUACUGGAGGAAGGUUUGAGAACACUGAUUAAUGUAGAUUUAGGCCUGAUACUCAGCCCUGGUGCGGCAGUUAGGCUGGUAGCUUUGCUUUAUAUAAGCAUCUUCCUCCCACUUUUUAAUUGGCUAUUUAAAAGGUAACUCAUACUUUUAAAAGCAACUUGUAUUUAUUGAACACCCUACAUCUUUUUUCCCUCCCCAGGUGAGUAUGGAUGGUGUAUAAGAUCAGAAUUCAAGAGAUUCUGCUUAAGGGUCAAUACCCAGCUCUCUCCCCCUGAGCUUUCUCUAUAAAAAGCAGCCUCUGGAGGAGUGUCAAGGUUGCAUCACUGCAGAAGAAGGACUUAACCUUAUCCCAUGCUGUUUUCCUCAUCUAAAGGUAGCCAGUGGGGCAAAUAGCAGCUUUGAAUAGGGCUGUUUACAUCAAUCCAAAUCAGUUACUUUUAAGAAAAGAUAGAAACAUCCUCUCAUCAAGUAUGGCCUCUUAAAGUACUCUGUCUAAGAAGUACGGGCUUUGUGUGCUGCUUUUUUUACAGGAAACUUUUAAAGACAUUGGCAUUAUCUAAGUAUGUUAAUGAAUUAAUUUACUUUUUCAUACACACUUAGUUAACAUUAAGGAACCUAAAAUGUGGGCAGGUCCACCAGGCUAUAUUGGUCCACUUCCCUUUUUUCCUUUUGGCCCAAAGGACUUCAAUAGUCUUAAUUUCUUUGUGCACAUGAGCAAAACUAAUUUCCCCAGAACUGUGCUUAAGCUUCCCCUUUUCAGCAAUUGUAGUAAAAUCAUCUCAAUAAAACUAACAGCUUGUAUUAAUUCCUGCUCCCACCUGAACAAUUUAACCUUAUUAAGAACAGCAAUUCCUCUUAAUUGACCAAAAUAAAAUUGGUGCAUAUUCACCAGUCCACUUCUGUCUCCUAAUUUUUCUAAUUCAGACACUUGUUCACAUAAAACAGUAAGGCUCCGUAUAAUUUAUGCACCUGAAAAAGUCCAAAUCCUCUUGUAUUGGACAAUCUUUCACUAAACAAUAAUAGGUGAGCACUCUGGACUGAGUUUCUGUCAUUCCUAUCACAUUAUUAUUCAUGUGUAUGAUAUCUUUAAAAACUAAUAAGCCUUAGAUAUAGAUAUGAUUUUGGAAAAUGACAAAUACUGAAUAGAAAAGAUGAUUUGAUGGUAGCUGAAUAGCUGAAAGUGGACAUUUUUGUUUCCUAGUAUUGUGACUUCACUGAAGCAGCAAUAGCAGCUCAACUCUCUUCCAGUCCCCUCCUUCCUACUCAAUCCCCCUUUAAGCAUCUCAUUCACCGUAUGGUGUAGCUUUUUAACACUACCCCCAGCUGAGUAUAACACUUCAUGAAUAAUAGCAUUAGGAAGCAAGACUACAAAGUACUGCAAAUACAAGAACAGUUACAUCUACAGUGAUACAAAGCUUUAAACUAUUCUUUUUGCUCUGAAAUAAAAAAGUAGACUUUUGUGUAGGGAAAGACAAACGACACCACCAAAAAAACCCCACACAGCAUUUUAUUCAAUUUCCUAUAGUUCUGUCAAGAAAUAAUAUUUGGUUUUGCUAUAUAGCCAUCACCAUGAUAAUGUUUAUUGAGGUUAGAGGAUGGAUUUCAAAAAUUAAUCAUAUCUGAGCUUGCACAUAUUUUGAGUAGAAAUAUAAUUUAAAGUGAUGUCUCUUAAAGAUUUUUACAACAACAGCAUUUAUAUCCAAUAUCUAAGCAUAUAUAGCUUAGAUUUCUAUUUAGUGAAAAUUAGUAUGCAGGUAAUGUUCUGAAACCAUAAGUACCACAUUUGUCUCAAAUGUCCAUUUUAUUGUGCAUUCAUGAUGAUUUGUGCUCAUGAUGAUAUCAGGGUGGUCACACGUGAUCCUGCUUUCGAUACUGUUUGUGCUUGCAAAGGUUUUGGGGUAGUCACACUGCUUCAUUUCUAAACAGUGCAUAUCUCAUCACUUCCUGCUGAAAUCCUGUAACUUGUUAUCCCACAAAUGUUCUGGUUUAUUUUUUACCUGUUUUUGGUGCAAUAAUGUGGAAGCAUUGGGGAAGCAUUGCAGAACAAGUAAUUAAGCAGAAUAAACCCACUACUGGUGCACUAUGACCAUGUCAAGAAUAGGCGUGCAACACUGGUGUCAGAAGUGGGGUUUCCUGGAGGAAGGGCCUGUGUGUAAGGUGCACCUGUAUAGGAGGAGAAAUAGCUACAGACCUUGAGCAGCUUGAGAGAAUAGAACAACAUCAGAACAAGCAGUUUGAGCAGAUGCUCUAGCAGCAGCAGUGGUGACAGAUGGAGCAGCAGAACCAGUUGUUUGAUAUAAUAGAGCCACGACUAGUAGAGUGGUAGGGAAGUCUCCAUGGAGUGGAAAGUGUGACUCCAAGCAACGUGCGAGCGUGCCUGAUGUGAUGCUACAGGGGGUUAAAAGUGACCCAGGAGCACUGCUGUAUGGCAUCCAGAGGGAAGGGGUGGCCAAAGAGAUCCAGAGCAUGGAUGGGCAGCUAUGAGGCUUGGACUCCAAAGGGCUGCAGUCAGUAGCUGAAGGCAAGGGAGAAGACAAUGCUUCCGAGAAGGGUGCACUGCCUGAAGCCAAGGAAAUGCUGAUUAAUUUCUCUACUCCUUGGGAGCCUGCUGUGGAAAAGGAGCAGGAGGGAUUGGGGGUGCCUGUAAGUGUGCAGUGGCUGUUAAUUGAUUUCUUCACCCCUGUGUGCUUUCUGUGGAAGAGAGGAAGCAGGAAGAAUCAGUGCCUGUGGAGAUGCCAGAAGAUGAUGUGUGUGAGAGAGAGAGAGGAAGAGGAAAGUAAAUUAAGCAAGGCCAUUAGGAAGACUACAGAGGAUCAAAGGGACACUUUGCGAAAAAGCAAAUGGGUGAAGCCCCUCAAGAGCUUAGAGUUGAGAGGAGUUACGUGUCGGGAAAGCAAAAAGGCAGAAGGCAGGGCAUGAUGGCUAAUGUCUAUUUGAAAGAGGCAAGACCCUCUUGGACUGUAAUGUAAGGAACCCCUCUAUCAUAUGCUCUGGUUGUUAAUAUGUAUAAAUAAACCAUAUAUCUAAA